rnacentral:rRNA from 1 species
GACGAACGCUGGCGGCGUGCCUAAUACAUGCAAGUAGAACGCUGAAGGAGGAGCUUGCUCUUCUGGAUGAGUUGCGAACGGGUGAGUAACGCGUAGGUAACCUGCCUGGUAGCGGGGGAUAACUAUUGGAAACGAUAGCUAAUACCGCAUAAGAGUAGAUGUUGCAUGACAUUUACUUAAAAGGUGCAAUUGCAUCACUACCAGAUGGACCUGCGUUGUAUUAGCUAGUUGGUGGGGUAACGACUUACCAAGGCGACGAUACAUAGCCGACCUGAGAGGGGGAUCGGCCACCCUGGGACUGGGACACGGCCCAGACUCCUACGGGAGGCAGCAGUAGGGGAUCUUCGGCAAUGGACGGAAGUCUGACCGAGCAACGCCGCGUGAGUGAAGAAGGUUUUCGGAUCGUAAAGCUCUGUUGUAAGAGAAGAACGAGUGUGAGAGUGGAAAGUUCACACUGUGACGGUAGCUUACCAGAAAGGGACGGCUAACUACGUG